GGGCUGGACCUCUCGGGGUUACAGCCUUGCUGAAUUAUUCACCCUUGUCUUUUGCGUACUUCUUGUUUCCUUGGUGGGUUCGCCCACCACUAGGACAAACAUAAACCUUUUGUAAUUGCAAUCAGCGUCAGUAACAAAUUAAUAAUUACAACUUUCAACAACGGAUCUCUUGGUUCUGGCAUCGAUGAAGAACGCAGCGAAAUGCGAUAAGUAGUGUGAAUUGCAGAAUUCAGUGAAUCAUCGAAUCUUUGAACGCACAUUGCGCCCUUUGGUAUUCCAAAGGGCAUGCCUGUUCGAGCGUCAUUUGUACCCUCAAGCUUUGCUUGGUGUUGGGCGUCUUGUCUCUAGCUUUGCUGGAGACUCGCCUUAAAGUAAUUGGCAGCCGGCCUACUGGUUUCGGAGCGCAGCACAAGUCGCACUCUCUAUCAGCAAAGGUCUAGCAUCCAUUAAGCCUUUUUUUCAACUUUUGACCUCGGAUCAGGUAGGGAUACCCGCUGAACUUAAGCAUAU
rnacentral:rRNA from 2 species